rnacentral:scaRNA from 1 species
UUACUUACCUGGACGGGGUCAAUAGGCGAUCAAGAAGGUCAAUGGCCUCGGUUGGUGACCUCCAUUGCACUUAGGAGGGGUGCCCUGUUUAUCACCGGGGUAACCCUUUACCCAAAAAAAAAAAAAUUAUACAGAACAUUGAAUUAAUAGUUGAAAUAUUUAAUAUCCAAAGUAGUUAGCAACAUCGUAGU